GGGUGGGAUCAUACCAGCACUAAAGCACCAGAUCUCAUCAGAACUCUGAAGUUAAACGUGCUUAAGUGAGAGUAGUACUAGGAUGGGUGAUCUCCUGGGAAGUCCUCCCUUUUCUGUCG
rnacentral:rRNA from 1 species